UUAUGCGCACUAUGCGCGCUGGUGGGCUGGUUUUGUGGAGAUCGAGAACUCCCUCACAGGGAAGCCCUCUCUCCUGCCCGCCCUGUCUGAAUAUACCCAUGAUUUUUGCGUACCCAUUGUUUCCUCGGCAGGCUUGCUUGCCAGUAGGACAUUUUUCAACCUUUUGUAAUUGCAGUCAGCGUCAGAAAAACUUAAUAGUUA
rnacentral:misc_RNA from 1 species